CCUACGGGAGGCAGCAGUGGGGAAUAUUGCACAAUGGGCGAAAGCCUGACGCAGCGACGCCGCGUGAGGGAUGAAGGUCUUCGGAUCGUAAACCUCUGUCAGCAGGGAAGAACGGUCACUGUGCUAAUCAGCAGUGAAUUGACGGUACCUGAAAAGGAAGCACCGGCUAACUCCGUGCCAGCAGCCGCGGUAAUACGGAGGGUGCGAGCGUUCAUCGGAAUUACGGGGCGUAAAGCGCUCGUAGGCGGUAUGUCAAGGCAAGGGUGAAAUCCCCGCGCUCAACGUGGGAACGGCCUUUGAAACUGGCAAACUGGAGUGUGUGAGAGGAUAGUGGAAGUGCAGGGGGAGGAGUGAAAUCCGUAGAUAUCUGGAGGAACAUCAGUGGCGAAGGCGACUAUCUGGCACAUAACUGACGCUGAGGAGCGAAAGCGUGGGUAGCAAACAGGAUUAGAUACCCGAGUAGUC
rnacentral:rRNA from 1 species